GCGAAGGUGGCGUGGGAGGCGGUGAAAAAGAUACAAUUUUCCCAACUUUAUGCAAAUCACCAGUGGUGACCGCUGGGUGAUGACCAAUCAGAGUGGUUCCCAUACGAAUUUGACGCUGUGCAACCAAAUGCUGGAGACUUUCUUCAGGAAAGAUGGCUGACGAACAUUCUAGGAUGGAAGCAAAUGGACUCCUGAAACAACCAGCAAACCAGGCUGUCAUCUUGUGAAACAAUGGAUGUAAUAAUCUAGCUAGCUAAAGCAUUUACUGCAAAUUGAAUGUACAAUUUUGUAAGCUUGCCUUGCUGAUAUUUGCCAUGCAAUGCAGAUAGAUUAAAUAAUGUAGAUAAC